GCCGGGGCUUCUUCUACGGUUACCGUCAUUAUCUUCACCGUUGAAAGAGCUUUACAACCCUAGGGCCGUCAUCACUCACGCGGCAUGGCUGGAUCAGGCUUGCGCCCAUUGUCCAAUAUUCCCC
rnacentral:rRNA from 1 species